rnacentral:rRNA from 1 species
UCGCGAAAACUUGUCAAUGGGGGAAACCCCGAACAGGGGAUUCCAAGUGCAUGCGUUUUACGUAUGCUUUUCAGUUGUCUAAAACACAGCCGGAAUAAGGGCUGGGUAAGACAGGUGCCAGCCGCCGCGGUAAUACCUGCAGCCCAAGUGGUAAUCGUUAUUAUUGAGCCUAAAGCGUCCGUAGCCGGUCUGGUAAACCCCCGGGUAAAUCGAACAGCUUAACUGUUCGAACACCGGGGGGACUGCCAGACUUGGGACCGGGAGAGGUCAGAGGUACUCCAGGGGUAGGGGCUAAAUCCUGUAAUCCUUGGAGGACCACCAGUGGCGAAGGCGUCUGACUAGAACGGAUCCGACGGUAAGGGACGAAACCCUGGGGCGCAAACCGGAUUAGAUACCCGGGUAGUCCAGGGCGUAAACGCUGCAGGCUUGGUGUUGGGGACCCUACGAGGGUGUCCAGUGCCGGAGUGAAGAUGUUAAGCCUGCCGCUUGGGGAGUACGUCCGCAAGGAUGAAACUUAAAGGAAUUGGCGGGAGAGCACUGCAACGGGAGGAGCGUGCGGUUCAAUUGGAUUCG